UACAGAGGUCUCAAGCGUUGUUCGGAUUCAUUGGGCGUAAAGGGUGUGUAGGUGGCGCCGUAAGUCGGGGUGUGAAAUUUCGGAGCUUAACUCCGAAACUGCAUUCGAUACUGCGGUGCUUGAGGACUGGAGAGGAGACUGGAAUUCCUGGUGUAGCGGUGAAAAUGCGCAGAUAUCAGGAGGAACACCGGUGGCGAAGGCGGGUCUCUGGGCCGUAACUGACGCUGAGGAGCGAAAGCGUGGGGAGCGAACAGGA
rnacentral:rRNA from 1 species